rnacentral:rRNA from 1 species
UGGGGAAUAUUGCACAAUGGGCGCAAGCCUGAUGCAGCCAUGCCGCGUGUAUGAAGAAGGCCUUCGGGUUGUAAAGUACUUUCAGCGGGGAGGAAGGGAGUAAAGUUAAUACCUUUGCUCAUUGACGUUACCCGCAGAAGAAGCACCGGCUAACUCCGUGCCAGCAGCCGCGGUAAUACGGAGGGUGCAAGCGUUAAUCGGAAUUACUGGGCGUAAAGCGCACGCAGGCGGUUUGUUAAGUCAGAUGUGAAAUCCCCGGGCUCAACCUGGGAACUGCAUCUGAUACUGGCAAGCUUGAGUCUCGGAGAGGGGGGUAGAAUUCCAGGUGUAGCGGUGAAAUGCGUAGAGAUCUGGAGGAAUACCGGUGGCGAAGGCGGACCCCUGGACGAAGACUGACGCUCAGGUGCGAAAGCGUGGGGUCCAAACAGG